rnacentral:rRNA from 1 species
CAAAUCCGGAAAAUCAAGGCUGAGGCGUGAUGACGAGGCACUACGGUGCUGAAGCAACAAAUGCCCUGCUUCCAGGAAAAGCCUCUAAGCAUCAGGUAACAUCAAAUCGUACCCCAAACCGACACAGGUGGUCAGGUAGAGAAUACCAAGGCGCUUGAGAGAACUCGGGUGAAGGAACUAGGCAAAAUGGUGCCGUAACUUCGGGAGAAGGCACGCUGAUAUGUAGGUGAAGUCCCUCGCGGAUGGAGCUGAAAUCAGUCGAAGAUACCAGCUGGCUGCAACUGUUUAUUAAAAACACAGCACUGUGCAAACACGAAAGUGGACGUAUACGGUGUGACGCCUGCCCGGUGCCGGAAGGUUAAUUGAUGGGGUUAGCGCAAGCGAAGCUCUUGAUCGAAGCCCCGGUAAACGGCGGCCGUAACUAUAACGGUCCUAAGGUAGCGAAAUUCCUUGUCGGGUAAGUUCCGACCUGCACGAAUGGCGUAAUGAUGGCCAGGCUGUCUCCACCCGAGACUCAGUGAAAUUGAACUCGCUGUGAAGAUGCAGUGUACCCGCGGCAAGACGGAAAGACCCCGUGAACCUUUACUAUAGCUUGACACUGAACAUUGAGCCUUGAUGUGUAGGAUAGGUGGGAGGCUUUGAAGUGUGGACGCCAGUCUGCAUGGAGCCGACCUUGAAAUACCACCCUUUAAUGUUUGAUGUUCUAACGUUGACCCGUAAUCCGGGUUGCGGACAGUGUCUGGUGGGUAGUUUGACUGGGGCGGUCUCCUCCUAAAGAGUAACGGAGGAGCACGAAGGUUGGCUAAUCCUGGUCGGACAUCAGGAGGUUAGUGCAAUGGCAUAAGCCAGCUUGACUGCGAGCGUGACGGCGCGAGCAGGUGCGAAAGCAGGUCAUAGUGAUCCGGUGGUUCUGAAUGGAAGGGCCAUCGCUCAACGGAUAAAAGGUACUCCGGGGAUAACAGGCUGAUACCGCCCAAGAGUUCAUAUCGACGGCGGUGUUUGGCACCUCGAUGUCGGCUCAUCACAUCCUGGGGCUGAAGUAGGUCCCAAGGGUAUGGCUGUUCGCCAUUUAAAGUGGUACGCGAGCUGGGUUUAGAACGUCGUGAGACAGUUCGGUCCCUAUCUGCCGUGGGCGCUGGAGAACUGAGGGGGGCUGCUCCUAGUACGAGAGGACCGGAGUGGACGCAUCACUGGUGUUCGGGUUGUCAUGCCAAUGGCACUGCCCGGUAGCUAAAUGCGGAAGAGAUAAGUGCUGAAAGCAUCUAAGCACGAAACUUGCCCCGAGAUGAGUUCUCCCUGACUCCUUGAGAGUCCUGAAGGAACGUUGAAGACGACGACGUUGAUAGGCCGGGUGUGUAAGCGCAGCGAUGCGUUGAGCUAACCGGUACUAAUGAACCGUGAGGCUUAACCUUACAACGCCGAAGCUGUU